CGCGGAGGGACAUUAC
rnacentral:rRNA from 1 species